AGUUUAUUUGAUGCUAUAGGUCGAAAGACCACUACAUGGAUAUCUGUAGUAACAUAGAGCUAAUACAUGCAAUAUAGUCUGACUUUUUUGGUAAGGACUAGCACUUAUUAGUAUAUUAACCAGUCCCAGCAAUGGGUUUUUUGUGAUUCAUAGUAACUGAACAAAUCACAUGGUCUUGAACCGGUGAUGUUUCAUUCAAUUUCUGCCCUAUCAACUAGAUGGUAGUAUAUAGGACUACCAUGGUUGUAACGGGUAACGGAGGAUAGGGUUUGAUUCCGGAGAAGGAGCAUGAGAAACGGCUACUAUUUCUAAGGAAAGCAGCAGGCGCGCAAAUUAUUCAAUGGAAAACAAUUUUCCGAAAUAGUGACAAAAAAUAUCAAUGCUGAGUACAAUGUAUUUAGUAAUUGGAAUGAGUACAAUUUAAAUCCCUUAACAAGUAACAAUUAGAGGGCAAGUCUGGUGCCAGCAGCCGCGGUAAUUCCAGCUCUAAUAGCGUAUAUUAAUAUUGUU
rnacentral:rRNA from 1 species